rnacentral:tRNA from 1 species
GCCCGGAUGGUGGAAUUGGUAGACACGCUAGUUUCAGGAGCUAGUAGCGGCAACGCUGUGCAGGUUCGAGUCCUGUUCUGGGCA